rnacentral:piRNA from 1 species
UAUCUUUCCUCUGUCCUGCUUUGCUGCC